UUGUACGUCCAUUGACUCCUAAAGCUAAUUUGCGCUUCUUUUGUCCCCCUAGCUUCACUGUGGCCUAAAAUAUGUGGAUGGCGGGAACUUUGAGACAGAGAAAAGGACGCAAGUCUUGCCAGCCAGAGAUCCUGCCAGAUCUUUGCAAGAAGCACUGGAAUGGACUGAACUGCUGCCAGGCUGCAAGAGAUCUCUCAAGAGCUGCCUCCCUUCUCAUCUGUCGUAGAGUCAUGAUGAGUGAAGUGAACCACCUGCUUCACACACUUGCUUCGUUGUGCCACGGUCUGAGUCACACCAAGGAAUAGAUUCUACUUAUGAAACUACUGACCUGAGAAAGAUUAUUGAACAGCAGAUGUUUCAGAAGACUUUAAUCUCCUGCCUUAAAAGUUCACAGAGGUUCUGCAGUCCAACUUUUCAAGGUUACCUUGAAUUAUUUGUUGUUUAUUUUUAUUGGAUAACAGUUUAUUAAGGAAUGGAAUGAAGCUAUGAUUUCCCCCCCAAAAAAAUUACCUCCUGCUUUAUUAUCAAAUUUAAAAUUAAGCUCAAUAUUAAAACAAUAUCAACAUUCUGUGAAAGCUGAUAACACAUUCUGUUCUAAAAUUAAGCAUAAAACCUUGAUUUGUUGUGGAUGUUGUUGUAUUGUCUGCCUGAAGCAUGCACUGGGGUAGAAGUUUGUGAAUUUCUUCAGCAGAUGAACUAAAAAUAAUGAGAAAAUCGUCUUUUGAUCUCACCUCAGUUUCUCCUGAGAGCAGCUCCCUUGACUGAUAGGUGCUUAUAUGUUACUGUGGAUAGGUGUUGCCUAUCUGCCCACAGCAACAUUAAAUGACCAUACUCAUACCUAAGAAGCAGAGCUGGACCUAAGCCAAAAAUCCCAAAGCUAAGUGGUCCCUGAAAGUUUAGGAAGCUUAAAUCUCGGACCUGGCCUGUUUCUCCAUAAUGGCUUCAGUCCAGCUCCCUGAUCCA
rnacentral:lncRNA from 1 species